AGAAGGGGAACCUGAGCGUUCUCCGCUUCGAGUUUCUCCACGUGUGAAGUGGGAAUGAUAGUGAUAUCUCGUGCUUUAGCUGUCAAGGGAAGAAGGAGAAGGUAUUUAUUAGAGGCCCUACGACGUGGUUCACCCAAAUGCUAAAGUGCCUCAGGUGAGGAGCUGAUGAUAAUCAGUAAUUAUCCAAGAAUGGAAGCUCAACAAAGGCAGGGGCCUUGUCUGUGUUGUUUCGGGCUGUGCUCUCAGCAUUUAGAACACAUCCUGGCAUGAGACUGCUGCAGGAAUCCUGAUCAGCGGUGAUGGCAAUGAGAGAUAAGUGGAUCCAACAUUAUGAUUAGGCGAUGAAUUGGCGUAACUUGGUAAUUGCUAGUGAAAAGAGUGAGAGGGGGGAGUGAGAGGAGAAUCACACAGAAUUGGCUUUCCUAGAUGGGCGCAGAGGUAUCUGGGAAGGCCCCUCCCCUCAGAAACGUCUCUCCCUCCAGCCCAGCACUGUCCUAGGGUUAGAGAAGGACUGUUUCUUGGUGAGCACUUGGAUGCCAAAAGUCUCCCCAGGCACCACAUAUUGCAAGAGUGACUAACUCUGCUUGGGAGAAUUGAAACUAGUUCAGAGAGAAAGGGGUAUUUAGGCUGGGUCUUGCAGAUAGUAUAAAAGCUUCCAGUUCCAUAAAGGGUGAGCUCUAUGGUGAGAAGGCAUGUUAAGGGAAGGAUAUUCUCGGGCAAGGGUGAUGGAGGAUAAUAGGAAGUACAAAGGCACAAAAGCAGGGGAGAAUAAUUUGGGGGGUGGUGAGUCAUUCCAUGUGGCUGCAAUAUGGGAGGCAUGUUGGGGGAGAAAAUAGUGGGAAAUAAAGCAGGACCAACAGUUUGUGAAGAGCCCAAGCGCCUAUAAUGUAGUCCAACUGGUCUUCUCCCUCGAGCUGGUGGCAGAGUAAAAGGCACAAACCGUCUGAACAGUAAUUUGGAAAUAUAUAUCAGAAGCCAUUAAAAUGAUUCUAAUCUCUGUCCUAGUGAUCCUGAUUCCUAGAGAUUGUUCCUAAGGGACUACUUUUUAAAGGAUGAAGGAUAAAGGAUAAAGUGAGCAAUAUUCAUUAAGCUAUUUAUUGCAUCAUUAUUGGAAAUAGUGAAAAAUUGGGAAACAACCAAUGUUUCCCUCAAAGGAAAAUGCUCAAGUAAAAAAUGGUGCCUUCACCCAAUGAAUAAGCAAUAGGCCGACUUGGUGUGUCUGUCAGAAUUUAGAUGGGCUAACUCAGGAAGCCUACUGGGCCCAGGGGAGGGGAAAAGUUCUGUUGUGGGCAAGAGAGGAAGGUUGGAAGCAGAGUGGACCACCAGACCAAGCCUGUGUAGACACCAGGGGUUGGCAAUAAGUAGCAAAAUGGAAAAAGCUGUAUGAUACAAUGCUGAGCAAUAAAAAUAAAAUAUGUAAUUGUAUCAGUGAUGAAAGCAGCCAAAAAAAAAAAAAAAUUACACUACUGACAAUGGCAGGAAAGGGCAAGGAGAAAUGGAAACAGAUAACGUGUGAGUGGGUGCUCUUUCCUCUUUCUCUUAAUUUUCUGUUGUUAUCAUUGUAUUAUUUGCACAAUAAAACCCAAUUUACAAUGAAAGAAGGAGACACUGAGGAAAUAUGAGCCCCUGGGAUAGGUCCACGGCCAUGCCUUCAAGUCCAGCUGCAGCUCCGAGCCUUCCAAGCCAUUCUGCCGGGAGCACUCCUGAAAGGAGCUGGCUUCUUCUGGACAAAGGAGGGAAGGAGAGCAACUUCGUGUGUGACCCACACCAAGGGGCUUCAAGUCUUUGCCAUCGCGCUCUAGAUGUUGGAGUCACUGCUACAUCCCAGGGGGAGCUUUCCCCUUAGCUGGGAAGGGUGGCUGUGACCAGUGCUCUCCAGCCCCAGCCUCUUUGCCUCUGAUGGUUGUUGCGGUUCCCGGUUCCUUCACAGUGGGCUCUCCUGGCUGGGGGUUAGGUUCCGCCUUGCUGGGGGAAGGGCUAGCAUGAGAUUCUCUCUGAUUCAGGGACAGAGGCCAAAGUGACCCUAGCCAGCAAAAAGAGCAGUGGAGAUAGCAACAUCCAUGACUGGGUGUCAGAGCUGAGGCCCAGUGAUUUUUCUUUUGUUCAUGCUCAACACCCCCUACCUCACUUGACUUCACUGUGACCUCUAGACCACCAAUCCUUUGACAAUUUCAUGCAUUUGCUUGUGCUGUUCUCUCAAUCUGGAGUGCCCUUGCUUAUGCUUCCUGACAGAGCUAAACCCUGCCCAUCCUUUCAUACCACUUCCUUGAUGAAACUCCCCAAUUUCCUUUUGGGGAAUGAAUCAUUCCCUCCUCUGGCUCCCACAGUACUUGAUUUGUAUCUUUCCCUUGGCAAUUGUAUUUUUCUGUAGCGUGUUAUAGUUAAUCAUGUCCACGUCUGUUUCUCCCACUAAAUGGGGAGCCUCUCAAGGUGGCCAAGGAACCUGUCUUAUCCAACUCUGACUCCUCACAGAGCGUGGCCAACCUCUGGCAUAUGGUAGGUGCUCAGUCAAUGUGCGGAAUGACAUUAAAUUACAAUGGGUGAGUUCUUCUACUUUCUAUGUCAUAGACUCUCUGGGAAAGCUGUUGAGAUGGUAGACAGAUGACCAGUUGGUUUUAUACCUAUUUCUUUCCUGUGCAUUUUGAAAGAGGCAGGAAGAGGAAGAGAAUUAAAGCUAUCUGUGGAUCCGUAUUCCAGAGAUUUCAGCCAGGGAUCCUGAGAGGGGAUAAUAAUAUAUAUAAUAGCUAACAUGUGCAGAGACUCUUAUUUAUACUUUCACACCCAUUAACUCUGCUGGGUCUCACCAGGACUCUAGGAAAUAGGCUGAGUGGCAGCAUUUGGCUUGUCCUAAUGUUAACGGUCAAGAAAACCAAGGCUCAGAAAAACAAAGUAAUUUGCUCACGAAUCCAUCAACUCAAAGUACUGAGCUGGGACUCAAACCCAGAUCUGUUGACUCUAAAUCCCAUGCUCUUGAUAUUGUAGAGGUGACAAGGACGAAGGCUCUCCUCCUCCUGAUAAACAUUUGCAGAAGGAAACCCAUAGCUUAAGCCUUGGUAAGGUGCAUCGGCAUCAGGUCCCCCUCGUGCAUGUUUAUCUGCUGAUCUAGGGGUUUAGCUCCUCAAGGGUAAGGACCACACCUAUUCCUUUAUUUCUUUUCCCCCAAAGCCUCAGGCCUUUGGCAAACCCCACACUUCUGCUGGGUCUUGGUUUCCCUGUCUGUAAAAUGAGGGGGCUGAGCUAGAAGUUUAAAUUGGGUCACAUUCCCACCAGUGCCCAGCGCAGAGCCUCGCCCCGCAGCGCCCACCGCCUUCCCCCUGGACGACUCCCCAGCUCCAACGCUAGAGG